rnacentral:rRNA from 1 species
AACGAACGCUGGCGGCAUGCCUAACACAUGCAAGUCGAACGAGAUCUUCGGAUCUAGUGGCGCACGGGUGCGUAACGCGUGGGAAUCUGCCCCUUGCUUCGGAAUAACAGUGAGAAAUUACUGCUAAUACCGGAUGAUGCCUCCGGACCAAAGAUUUAUCGGCAAGGGAUGAGCCCGCGUAGGAUUAGGUAGUUGGUGGGGUAAUGGCCUACCAAGCCGACGAUCCUUAGCUGGUCUGAGAGGAUGAUCAGCCACACUGGGACUGAGACACGGCCCAGACUCCUACGGGAGGCAGCAGUGGGGAAUAUUGGACAAUGGGCGAAAGCCUGAUCCAGCAAUGCCGCGUGAGUGAUGAAGGCCUUAGGGUUGUAAAGCUCUUUUACCAGGGAUGAUAAUGACAGUACCUGGAGAAUAAGCGCCGGCUAACUCCGUG